CUGUGUUUUAGCCAAGACACCCAAAUACCAAUACACCCGAAAGACUCAUGCUUUCCUUUUUUCAUUUUUUUCGUUUGGAUAUUUCCCCCAAAUAGCAGAGUCUUUCGGCGGAGGUUUUCUUGUUCUUGGAACCUCAAAAACCCGGCAAGCGAUUCGAUUUGAACUGCGCUCGGGAGGUUAAAGGUGAUCGCCCGAGAAUAUUUGAAUAUGAGACCGAUGUAGGGACAAGGGAACUUGGCAUGACUUGCGUGAUUAUUAACUUCGUUAAUAAUUACGCAGUUCCGGUCCUAUUGAUUAGUACGCUGAUCUGAGGACUAAAAAUUAUGUUCUUCCAUUUCAACGUGGACCGUGGAAGAGGUCGGAGUGGUGUUAUUUUCUUGAACCGCGAAUUUCACAAAAGCUGGAUAGUCGAUAGAUUUAGGCAAAGUUGAAGUUGUACCCUCCCGUGCAUCCGUUAAAUACAUCCGGAGGAAGCGCCGCUACUGACCCCACGGAGUCAACGUUGGAAUUGACCAAAAAUCCAGCCAAGGCUCAAACCUUUCCGCCUGGUUCGAAGACUGCGCUGCGCGAACAAUACUGGCAGCCGCAACAGGCGUAAACCGGAAGUUAGGACCGCUCAUCGCACGCCCAGCUAGGAGUAGAACCCGUCGACGUAGCGAAUCACAUAAAUCCAUGGUAGUGAGUACCUUUUUUCCUUAUCCAUUAUUAACAUGCGCAUGUAGGAUAAGUGAUAUUGAGCAAAACGCUAUAAAUAGCUACUAACCACGAAAGCCACACAAUUCAAAGCCAUACACACACAAAUAAUGCAUGCAGUGGAGAGCUCACUCCAUAUGACUGUGUAAUUUCAAUCGCUAUAAGCGAAGCCAUUCAUGAAUAGCCUAACGGAGUAAAUAGCAAGCGCGCCGUCUUCUCAACCUAGAUGUGAUGAGAUCGAGACUUGGGAGGAAAAUUAGAGUAGAGUAAUGAAAUUUGAUUAAUGUUCUUAGAGUAAAUAAAUUUUCUAUGUUGAUGGAUGUUCUUUCCUGAUUGACUAAAUGUUCAAUGUAGAAGAGAAGUGUUGAUGAAGCUAAUUGAUUUAAGUGAUUGAGAAUGUUGUGAGAGAUGUUUUGAUAUUUAAUGUAGUGUAAAAUAAACUUUUCCGUUCGAUUUAUAUGUUAAGGUCUAAGAAACAAAUGUGUAUUUACUGGCUCGCGGUGGCCUAAACACCGACGAACCCGUUCACUCUUCUUUUUGUGUUAAUUAGGUCACGAGUCAGGGUGGAGACUCCUUUUUUGUUUACUUCCACUCUCACUCCUACGCUCCGAAGCGAGCUCUGAAGUUGAGGGGAAGAUCAUUAUUAGUAGGUCCAGUGAGGAGACCUCAGCAUAAGUGGUAGUCAGUGGGAUCGACCCAGACUUCCUUGUGUCUGCAUUACGUCUCGUGGACAAACGAUAUCGCGGGUUCUCCCGAGAGUGCAGGAAAAAAGUCGCGAAGCUAACCGGGUUUGUGAGGAGAAAAGGACAAACCCGCCCUCAGUGGGUGUCUCAUUGCCGGGCAAGGAAAAUAACACGGCGGUCGGUCUCCCUCACGGGAGUGGCGCUUAAGCCGACCGCUUAUCUGCGCAAAUUCCCCGGUAGC